rnacentral:tRNA from 1 species
UGGCUUAUAGUUUAAGGGAUGAGAACACUGUGCUACGAACGCAGAGAUACAAGUUCGAAUCUUGUAAAGCCAA